rfam:Felis catus breed Abyssinian Contig270439.1, whole genome shotgun sequence. [26-MAY-2016]
GCCUGGGUGGCUCAGUCAGUUAAGCAUCUGACUUCGGCUCAGGUCAUGAUCUCGUGGUUCGUGGGUUCGAGCCCCGCAUCAGGCU